UGUCUGGAAGUGGCACACUGCUCAGUAACACGUAGCUAACCUACCCUUAGGACGUGGAUACCCCCGAGAGAUUGGGGUUAAUCCGCGAUAGAUGUAAUGUCCUGGAAUGGUAUUACGUCUAAAGGUAUUUCAUACAUGUUUGAAAUAUGCCUAAGGAUGGGGCUGCGGCCGAUCAGGCUGUUGGUGAGGUAAUGGCUCACCAAACCUUUGACCGGUACGGGCCAUGAGAGUGGUAGCCCGGAGAUGGACACUGAGACAAGGGUCCAGGCCCUAAGGGGCGCAGCAACCGCGAAACCUCCACAAUGCACUCACGUGCGAUGGGGCUAUCUCGAGUGCCACCUGAUGAAGGUGGCUUUUCCUUGGUCUUCAAAGCCUUGGGAAUAAGAGGGGGGCAAGACUGGUGUCAGCCGCCGCGGUAACACCAGCCCCUCGAGUGGUGGGGAUGAUUAUUUGGCCUAAAGCGUCCGUAGCCGGCCGAGCAAGUCUUCCGUUAAAUCCAGCGUCUCAAGCGUUGGACCGCGGGAGAUACUACACGGCUAGAGAGUGGGAGAGGUCAGCGGUAUUCUGGGGGUAGGGGCGAAAUCCUUUGAUCCCCGGAGGACCACCAGUGGCGAAGGCUGCUGACUAGAACACGUCUGACGGUCAGGGACGAAAGCUGGGGUAGCGAACCGGAUUAGAUACCCGGGUAGUCCCAGCCGUAAACGAUGCAUGCUAGGUGUUGGGUUGGCCACGAGCCACCCCAGUGCCGCAGGGAAGCCGUUAAGCAUGCCGCCUGGGAAGUACGAUCGCAAGAUUGAAACUUAAAGGAAUUGGCGGGGGAGCACCACCAGGCGUGAAGCCUGCGGUUUAAUUGGAGUCAACGCCGGGAACCUUACCGGGAGCGACAGCAGAAUGAAGGCCAGAUUGAAGAUCUUGCCAGACGAGCUGAGAGGAGGUGCAUGGCCGUCGCCAGUUCGUGCCGUGAGGUGUUCUCUUAAGUGAGAUAACGAACGAGACCCGUGCCACAUGUUGCCACCAGUAUCUAAAGGAUAGCUGAGCACUCUUGUGGGACCGCAGCCGAUAAGGCUGAGGAAGGUACGGGCAACGGCAGGUCAGUAUGCCCCGAAUCUCCCGGGCCACACGCGGGCUGCAAUGGUACAGACAGAGGGCUGCCACCCCGAAAGGGGGAGCCAAUCCCUAACUGUACCUCAGUUGGGAUCGAGGGUUGCAACCCACCCUCGUGAACAUGGAAUGCCUAGUAACCGCCAGUCAUCAUCUGGCGGUGAAUACGUCCCUGCUCCUUGCACACACUGCCCGUCGAACCACCCGAAUGAGGUUUGGGUGAGGAAUGGUCGAAUGUUGGCCGUUUCGAACCUGGGCCUCGUAAGGAGGGUUAAGUCGUAACAAGGUG
rnacentral:rRNA from 1 species